CUCUAACAUCUGUCGAAUUAGGCAACAGAAAGCAGAAUAAUAUCAGCAUUGUCCUCUAACAGUGACGUUAGUAAAGAAAAGGUCAUCAACUCCUUUACGUUACUGCCCUCUCCUUUGGUCAACCACUCAACCUAGACGGCACCACUGGCCUUGGUGCAAAUUCAAUUGUAAGUUUGUAACUCAUCUUUGACCCUUUAAUCCAGCAAUUGCUUUUUGGCAUUGUCAGUCUAGAUAUUUUACAGGGUUUUGGUGUGAUAUGGUCGACCAAUUGUUAAUAAAAAAAGAAAGAGCAAUGGAAAAGGAAAGUUGGAAAGGAAGCAGAAGACUUGAUUUCAAGUUAAGCACAUCCUUCACGUAAUGACAAAUCAGUCAUUGUUGAUCUUUUUCAGUUAAUCAUCCUGUAAAUACCUAGUGUUCGUUUCCAAUUAUAUGAGAGAAAACGUCUAUUAUCAUUUUAA